UACGGAAGGCAGCAGUGGGGAAUAUUGGACAAUGGGCGCAAGCCUGAUCCAGCCAUGCCGCGUGUGUGAAGAAGGCCUUUUGGUUGUAAAGCACUUUAAGCGAGGAGGAGGCUCUCUUAGUUAAUACCUAAGAUGAGUGGACGUUACUCGCAGAAUAAGCACCGGCUAACUCUGUGCCAGCAGCCGCGGUAAUACAGAGGGUGCGAGCGUUAAUCGGAUUUUACUGGGCGUAAAGCGUGCGUAGGCGGCUUUUUUAAGUCGGAUGUGAAAUCCCCGAGCUUAACUUGGGAAUUGCAUUCGAUACUGGGAAGCUAGAGUAUGGGAGAGGAUGGUAGAAUUCCAGGUGUAGCGGUGAAAUGCGUAGAGAUCUGGAGGAAUACCGAUGGGCGAAGGCAGCCAUCUGGGCCUAAUACUGACGCUGAGGUACGAAAGCAUGGGGAGCAAACAGGAUAGAUACCCGU
rnacentral:rRNA from 1 species